UUGACAGUAGCUUCGAACAAUAAAUUUAGCAAAUGAAAUUUCCAUAUGAGGGAACAUUUUAUUUGCUGUAUUUCUGUGUGUCAGGCUGCAGUUAAACUUGCCCAAACAGAACCAGAGAAAAGCGAGGCAAGAGUAAAAGAAGAAGAAACAGGACGUGAGAAGUGAGUGAGAAGUUGGUAACUUCUGCAUUGGCAGGUUCCUUUUCCUGAGCCAGGACUGUGAGGUUUAAAAGGCUCCCCCCCCCCCAACUCGUCUGCAGCUGCAGCAACCCUGCCGUGUCUUCUGGCUCCGGGAGCUUUGAAUUAAUCUGCCAGGACUGGGCAUUCAGACCUCUAAUCCAAAGGACUGUCAGAGAAGAGGGUCCUCUAUGUGAAGACAACACGCUAUCCGAAGGCUGUUCAGUCCAAGUUUGGUUAAAACAACAAAGAACCAUAAAAACAGAGAGCAAGAGAUUUGAAGUUGACCAUCAGCAGUAAGGACACCAUGGUGAGCCAGAACUUGCCGGAACUCGGGUGGACGCCAUUGUCAUGAUAAAAGAAUAAGGGAGGUGUUCACAGUG